UACAGAGACUGCAAGCGUUAUCCGGAUUCACUGGGUUUAAAGGGUGCGUAGGUGGCUUUGUAAGUCAGUGGUGAAAUCUCGGAGCUUAACUCCGCAACUGCCAUUGAUACUGCUUAGCUUGAAUCAAGUAGAGGUGGAUGGAAUAUUACAUGUAGCGGUGAAAUGCUUAGAUAUGUAAUAGAACACCGAUUGCGAAGGCACUUCACUAUGCUUGUAUUGACACUGAGGCACGAAAGCGUGGGGAUCAAACAGG
rnacentral:rRNA from 1 species